CCGUGCUAAGUGGGGAGGUAGCGGUUCCCUGUACUCGAAAUCCGCUUUACGCGAGACUGAAUUCCUUUGCUAAGGGUGUGUUUUUGUGAAGUCUGCCCAAAGCACGUAGUGUUUGAAGAUCUCGGUCCUAUGCAAUAUGAACCCACGAACCAUGUCAGGUCCUGACGGAAGCAGCAU
rnacentral:SRP_RNA from 1 species